GGGUUGUGAGGUUAAGCGACUAAGCGUACACGGUGGAUGCCCUGGCAGUCAGAGGCGAUGAAGGACGUGCUAAUCUGCGAUAAGCGUCGGUAAGGUGAUAUGAACCGUUAUAACCGGCGAUUUCCGAAUGGGGAAACCCAGUGUGWUUCGWCACACUAUCAUUAACUGAAUCCAUAGGUUAAUGAGGCGAACCGGGGGAACUGAAACAUCUAAGUACCCCGAGGAAAAGAAAUCAACCGAGAUUCCCCCAGUAGCGGCGAGCGAACGGGGAGCAGCCCAGAGCCUGAAUCAGUGUGUGUGUUAGUGGAAGCGUCUGGAAAGGCGCGCGAUACAGGGUGACAGCCCCGUACACAAAAAUGCACAURCUGUGAGCUCGAUGAGUAGGGCGGGACACGUGGUAUCCUGUCUGAAUAUGGGGGGACCAUCCUCCAAGGCUAAAUACUCCUGACUGACCGAUAGUGAACCAGUACCGUGAGGGAAAGGCGAAAAGAACCCCGGCGAGGGGAGUGAAAAAGAACCUGAAACCGUGUACGUACAAGCAGUGGGAGCACGCUUAGGCGUGUGACUGCGUACCUUUUGUAUAAUGGGUCAGCGACUUAUAUUCUGUAGCAAGGUUAACCGAAUAGGGGAGCCGAAGGGAAACCGAGUCUUAACUGGGCGUUAAGUUGCAGGGUAUAGACCCGAAACCCGGUGAUCUAGCCAUGGGCAGGUUGAAGGUUGGGUAACACUAACUGGAGGACCGAACCGACUAAUGUUGAAAAAUUAGCGGAUGACUUGUGGCUGGGGGUGAAAGGCCAAUCAAACCGGGAGAUAGCUGGUUCUCCCCGAAAGCUAUUUAGGUAGCGCCUCGUGAAUUCAUCUCCGGGGGUAGAGCACUGUUUCGGCAAGGGGGUCAUCCCGACUUACCAACCCGAUGCAAACURCGAAUACCGGAGAAUGUUAUCACGGGAGACACACGGCGGGUGCUAACGUCCGUCGUGAAGAGGGAAACAACCCAGACCGCCAGCUAAGGUCCCAAAGUCAUGGUUAAGUGGGAAACGAUGUGGGAAGGCCCAGACAGCCAGGAUGUUGGCUUAGAAGCAGCCAUCAUUUAAAGAAAGCGUAAUAGCUCACUGGUCGAGUCGGCCUGCGCGGAAGAUGUAACGGGGCUAAACCAUGCACCGAAGCUGCGGCAGCGACGCUKAUGCGUUGUUGGGUAGGGGAGCGUUCUGUAAGCCUGYGAAGGUGURCUGUGAGGYAUGCUGGAGGUAUCAGAAGUGCGAAUGCUGACAUAAGUAACGAUAAAGCGGGUGAAAAGCCCGCUCGCCGGAAGACCAAGGGUUCCUGUCCAACGUUAAUCGGGGCAGGGUGAGUCGACCCCUAAGGCGAGGCCGAAAGGCGUAGUCGAUGGGAAACAGGUUAAUAUUCCUGUACUUGGUGUUACUGCGAAGGGGGGACGGAGAAGGCUAUGUUGGCCGGGCGACGGUUGUCCCGGUUUAAGCGUGUAGGCUGGUUUUCCAGGCAAAUCCGGAAAAUCAAGGCUGAGGCGUGAUGACGAGGCACUACGGUGCUGAAGCAACAAAUGCCCUGCUUCCAGGAAAAGCCUCUAAGCAUCAGGUAACAUCAAAUCGUACCCCAAACCGACACAGGUGGUCAGGUAGAGAAUACCAAGGCGCUUGAGAGAACUCGGGUGAAGGAACUAGGCAAAAUGGUGCCGUAACUUCGGGAGAAGGCACGCUGAUAUGUAGGUGAAGUYMCUCGCGGAUGGAGCUGAAAUCAGUCGAAGAUACCAGCUGGCUGCAACUGUUUAUUAAAAACACAGCACUGUGCAAACACGAAAGUGGACGUAUACGGUGUGACGCCUGCCCGGUGCCGGAAGGUUAAUUGAUGGGGUYAGCGCAAGCGAAGCUCUUGAUCGAAGCCCCGGUAAACGGCGGCCGUAACUAUAACGGUCCUAAGGUAGCGAAAUUCCUUGUCGGGUAAGUUCCGACCUGCACGAAUGGCGUAAUGAUGGCCAGGCUGUCUCCACCCGAGACUCAGUGAAAUUGAACUCGCUGUGAAGAUGCAGUGUACCCGCGGCAAGACGGAAAGACCCCGUGAACCUUUACUAUAGCUUGACACUGAACAUUGAGCCUUGAUGUGUAGGAUAGGUGGGAGGCUUUGAAGUGUGGACGCCAGUCUGCAUGGAGCCGACCUUGAAAUACCACCCUUUAAUGUUUGAUGUUCUAACGU
rnacentral:rRNA from 1 species